AGAGUUUGAUCCUGGCUCAGAUUGAACGCUGGCGGAAUGCUUUACACAUGCAAGUCGAGCGGCAGCGCGGUCUUCGGACUGGCGGCGAGCGGCGAACGGGUGAGUAAUACAUCGGAACAUGCCCAGUCGUGGGGGAUAACACUUCGAAAGAAGUGCUAAUACCGCAUACGUCCUGAGGGAGAAAGCGGGGGAUCGCAAGACCUCGCGCGAUUGGAGUGGCCGAUGUCAGAUUAGCUAGUUGGUGGGGUAAAGGCCUACCAAGGCAACGAUCUGUAGCUGGUCUGAGAGGAUGAUCAGCCACACUGGGACUGAGACACGGCCCAGACUCCUACGGGAGGCAGCAGUGGGGAAUUUUGGACAAUGGGGGCAACCCUGAUCCAGCCAUUCCGCGUGAGUGAAGAAGGCCUUCGGGUUGUAAAGCUCUUUCGGCAGGAACGAAACGGUGAGCUCUAACAUAGCUCGCUAAUGACGGUACCUGAAGAAGAAGCACCGGCUAACUACGUGCCANCAGCCGCGGUAAUACNUANGGUGCGAGCGUUAAUCNGAAUUACUGGGCGUAAAGCGUGCNCANGCNGUUGUGUAANACANGUGGNAAAUCCCCNGGCUUANCCUGNNAACUGCNCUUGNGACUGCNCNNCUNNANUAUG
rnacentral:rRNA from 1 species